UUUAACUGAAGAGUUUGAUCAUGGCUCAGAUUGAACGCUGGCGGCAGGCUUAACACAUGCAAGUCGAGCGGGGGAAGGUAGCUUGCUACUGGACCUAGCGGCGGACGGGUGAGUAAUGCUUAGGAAU
rnacentral:rRNA from 1 species